rnacentral:rRNA from 1 species
UGGGGAAUAUUGGACAAUGGGCGAAAGCCUGAUCCAGCCAUGCCGCGUGUGUGAAGAAGGUCUUCGGAUUGUAAAGCACUUUAAGUUGGGAGGAAGGGCAUUAACCUAAUACGUUAGUGUUUUGACGUUACCGACAGAAUAAGCACCGGCUAACUCUGUGCCAGCAGCCGCGGUAAUACAGAGGGUGCAAGCGUUAAUCGGAAUUACUGGGCGUAAAGCGCGCGUAGGUGGUUUGUUAUGUUGGAUGUGAAAUCCCCGGGCUCAACCUGGGAACUGCAUUCAAAACUGACUGACUAGAGUAUGGUAGAGGGUGGUGGAAUUUCCUGUGUAGCGGUGAAAUGCGUAGAUAUAGGAAGGAACACCAGUGGCGAAGGCGACCACCUGGACUAAUACUGACACUGAGGUGCGAAAGCGUGGGGAGCAAACA